rnacentral:rRNA from 1 species
UGCGGAAGGAUCAUUACCGAGUGUAGGGUUCCUAGCGAGCCCAACCUCCCACCCGUGUUUACUGUACCUUAGUUGCUUCGGCGGGCCCGCCAUUCAUGGCCGCCGGGGGCUCUCAGCCCCGGGCCCGCGCCCGCCGGAGACACCACGAACUCUGUCUGAUCUAGUGAAGUCUGAGUUGAUUGUAUCGCAAUCAGUUAAAACUUUCAACAAUGGAUCUCUUGGUUCCGGCAUCGAUGAAGAACGCAGCGAAAUGCGAUAACUAGUGUGAAUUGCAGAAUUCCGUGAAUCAUCGAGUCUUUGAACGCACAUUGCGCCCCCUGGUAUUCCGGGGGGCAUGCCUGUCCGAGCGUCAUUGCUGCCCAUCAAGCACGGCUUGUGUGUUGGGUCGUCGUCCCCUCUCCGGGGGGGACGGGCCCCAAAGGCAGCGGCGGCACCGCGUCCGAUCCUCGAGCGUAUGGGGCUUUGUCACCCGCUCUGUAGGCCCGGCCGGCGCUUGCCGAACGCAAAUCAAUCUUUUCCAGGUGACCUCGGAU